GGGCCUGUAGCUCAGUCUGGUCUAGAGCGCUGGUCUUAUAAGCCAGAGGUCGAGGGUUCAAAUCCCGCCAGGCCCA
rnacentral:tRNA from 1 species